AACGAACGCUGGCGGCGUGCCUAACACAUGCAAGUCGAGCGGGAAAGUUCCCUUCGGGGAGCAAGUACAGCGGCGAACGGGUGAGUAACACGUAGGUAACCUACCUUGGAGAUCGGGAUAACCUGCCGAAAGGCGGGCUAAUACCGGAUAAGACCACGAGGGCUGCGGCCCUUGAGGAAAAAGAUGGCCUCUGCUUGCAAGCUAUCACUCUGGGAUGGGCCUGCGCGCCAUUAGCUAGUUGGUGAGGUAACGGCUCACCAAGGCUGAGAUGGCUAGCUGGUCUGAGAGGAUGGCCAGCCACACUGGGACUGAGACACGGCCCAGACUCCUACGGGAGGCAGCAGUGGGAAUAUUGCGCAAUGGGCGAAAGCCUGACGCAGCGACGCCGCGUGGGUGAUGAAGGCCUCGGUCGUAA
rnacentral:rRNA from 1 species